CGAACAUGAGUUAGCAGUUAAUGAGUCACGCUUAUUUCAAUACCUUAUUGCUGUAGGAAAGUACGAAUAUUUCGGGCAGUUAGAAUGAUGCGUGUAUUCAUAGAGUUUCAAAGAGUGUUUGAUGCGUGUAGGCCUUGCUGACGUUAUAGAUUUGUAUCUAUUAGUGUCAAUAUUCACCUGGUUGGGAAGAAGCUGGCUUCUCCCCUUCAUGGUAAUGCAAGGGUCAGGACAUACCCCUCUUCCUCUGGAAAACAGCACACAGAGCCUGGAGCCGAGUUGCCACAAGAGCCUAGGGCAAGCUUGAGUUCAUGGAAUGCACGUCCUGGAGUAGGCUGGAUGGCUUCCAUCACAUUUCACACAAUGUGGAGAUGAGUCGAAAGUGUCUGAUGGAUGAUCAUUCGAGCUACGUUUUGCGCAAGUCUGCCUUCCUCGGCAUGUCUGGGAUCCAUACCCAUACCUCUGGCACUUAAAGCAUCGUCGAGGAAUUGGGAUGUAUGGCCUAACACGUACUUUAAUAUAGCCUGCAUCCAAUGUACUAGGCAGCACACUAGGGCUAAAGGUCUGGGACGCCACGGAGAGCCGCGGAGCUCUUGUGACUUUUGCCUAGUAGAUGGCGCCACAGCAUUUCAAACUGCCGACCUGGAAUGCAUUUUCAUUGGGGAUUAUGGCAUGUUGAGAUCUAAUAAAUAUUGCUUGAAACAUUG